rnacentral:misc_RNA from 1 species
ACACCUCAACUCCUCAUGGUUUGCCAUGAUGAGCUUGGACCUUGGGGGUAUUGCUGGCCCUGUGGGUUGGCUCCUCUCAAAUGGAUCAGCUUGCCAGUGUUUGGUGGCAUCGCAGGUGUGAUAAAUAUCUACGCUUGCGGUUUUCCACCAUGUAACCUUCAGCGAUGAAGGUGUGCUGGAGCUCACAAACGUCCCUCAGCGAGGACAGCUUUUGAAC